UCGGAGCGUCCCGGCUUCUCCCGCGCGGGGGGCGAGUAAGCCAGCGGCAGGACCAGCGGGCGGGGGCCCACGAACACAUGCCUCACUCCUGUCAGCAGUUCCACCUUUUCAUGGUUGAGGAGCACAUGUGGUCGCCAGCCUCCCAUCUCCAGAGUCCCCUAAGAUCCCCAGUGGAUUAGAAAGGACUGAAGGACUUUUACAGGCUAACAGCAAGAAGAACAAAGUAACUGCAAAAUAGACGGAGAAUUCUUGAAGACGGUAGCUCUUGGUCACCAUAAGCGCUGCAGAGACCCCGAGGUCCACAUUCUGUUGUAGCAAAAGCUGGCAGGCUGACAGAGGCGGCCUCAGGACGGACCUUCUGGCUACUGACCGUUUUGCUGUGGUUUUCCCGGAUUGUGUGUAGGUGUGAGAUCAACCAUGAGUUCCGUUGCAGUUUUGACCCAAGAGAGUUUUGCUGAACACCGAAGUGGGCUGGUUCCGCAACAAAUCAAAGUUGCCACUCUAAAUUCAGAAGAGGAGAGCGACCCUCCAACCUACAAGGAUGCCUUCCCUCCACUUCCUGAGAAAGCUGCUUGCCU
rnacentral:lncRNA from 1 species